CCCAUGUUAGGUACCAUACAGUCGAGCGGAUGACGGGAGCUUGCUCCUUGAUUAGCGGCGGACGGGUGAGUAAUGCCUAGGAAUCUGCCUGGUAGUGGGGGACAACGUUUCGAAAGGAACGCUAAUACCGCAUACGUCCUACGGGAGAAAGCAGGGGACCUUCGGGCCUUGCGCUAUCAGAUGAGCCUAGGUCGGAUUAGCUAGUUGGUGGGGUAAUGGCUCACCAAGGCGACGAUCCGUAACUGGUCUGAGAGGAUGAUCAGUCACACUGGAACUGAGACACGGUCCAGACUCCUACGGGAGGCAGCAGUGGGGAAUAUUGGACAAUGGGCGAAAGCCUGAUCCAGCCAUGCCGCGUGUGUGAAGAAGGUCUUCGGAUUGUAAAGCACUUUAAGUUGGGAGGAAGGGCAGUAAGUUAAUACCUUGCUGUUUUGACGUUACCGACAGAAUAAGCACCGGCUAACUCUGUGCCAGCAGCCGCGGUAAUACAGAGGGUGCAAGCGUUAAUCGGAAUUACUGGGCGUAAAGCGCGCGUAGGUGGUUCGUUAAGUUGGAUGUGAAAGCCCCGGGCUCAACCUGGGAACUGCAUCCAAAACUGGCGAGCUAGAGUACGGUAGAGGGUGGUGGAAUUUCCUGUGUAGCGGUGAAAUGCGUAGAUAUAGGAAGGAACACCAGUGGCGAAGGCGACCACCUGGACUGAUACUGACACUGAGGUGCGAAAGCGUGGGGAGCAAACAGGAUUAGAUAC
rnacentral:rRNA from 1 species